UACGAAGGGUGCAAGCGUUAAUCGGAAUUACUGGGCGUAAAGCGCGCGUAGGCGGUUAUGCCAGUCGGAUGUGAAAGCCCCGGGCUUAACCUGGGAAUUGCAUCCGAUACUGCAUGACUAGAGUCUGGGAGAGGGAAGUGGAAUUCCGGGUGUAGCGGUGAAAUGCGUAGAUAUCCGGAGGAACACCAGUGGCGAAGGCGACUUCCUGGCCUAAGACUGACGCUGAGGUGCGAAAGCGUGGGGAGCAAACAGG
rnacentral:rRNA from 1 species